rnacentral:rRNA from 1 species
GACAGAGGGUGCAAACGUUGCUCGGAAUCACUGGGCGUAAAGGGCGUGUAGGCGGGAAGGAAAGUCAGAUGUGAAAUCCCUGGGCUCAACCCAGGAACUGCAUUUGAAACUCCCUUUCUUGAGUGUCGGAGAGGAAAGCGGAAUUCCUGGUGUAGAGGUGAAAUUCGUAGAUAUUGGGAAGAACACCGAUGGCGAAGGCAGCCCCCUGGGCCAACACUGACGCUCAGGCACGAAAGCGUGGGGAGCAAACAGG